rnacentral:rRNA from 1 species
AUUGAUUUUAUGCUUGCAUAAAUGAUUUUUGGAUUCGGAGCGAGUGGCGAACUGGUGAGUAACACGUGGGUAACCUGCCCCGAAGCGGGGGAUAACAUUUGGAAACAAGUGCUAAUACCGCAUAAUUAGUUGGAACCGCAUGGUUCCAACUUGAAAGAUGGCUCUGCUAUCACUUUGGGAUGGACCCGCGCCGUAUUAGUUAGUUGGUGAGAUAAAAGCCCACCAAGACGAUGAUACGUAGCCGACCUGAGAGGGUAAUCGGCCACAUUGGGACUGAGACACGGCCCAGACUCCUACGGGAGGCAGCAGUAGGGAAUCUUCCACAAUGGACGAAAGUCUGAUGGAGCAACGCCGCGUGAGUGAUGAAGGUUUUCGGAUCGUAAAACUCUGUUGUUAAAGAAGAACAAGUGUUAGAGUAACUGUUAACACUUUGACGGUAUUUAACCAGAAAGCCACGGCUAACUACGUGCCAGCAGCCGCGGUAAUACGUAGGUGGCAAGCGUUGUCCGGAUUUAUUGGGCGUAAAGCGAGCGCAGGCGGUUUUGUAAGUCUGCUGUGAAAGCCCUCAGCUCAACUGAGGAAGUGCAGUGGAAACUACAAAACUUGAGUACAGAAGAGGAAAGUGGAACUCCAUGUGUAGCGGUGAAAUGCGUAGAUAUAUGGAAGAACACCAGUGGCGAAGGCGGCUUUCUGGUCUGUUACUGACGCUGAGGCUCGAAAGCAUGGGUAGCGAACAGGAUUAGAUACUCUGGUAGUCCAUGCCGUAAACGAUGAAUACUAGGUGUUGGAGGGUUUCCGCCCUUCAGUGCCGCAGCUAACGCAUUAAGUAUUCCGCCUGGGGAGUACGACCGCAAGGUUGAAACUCAAAGGAAUUGACGGGGGCCCGCACAAGUGGUGGAGCAUGUGGUUUAAUUCGAUGCUACGCGAAGAACCUUACCAGCUCUUGACAUCUUCUGCCAACCCAAGAGAUUGGGCGUUCCCUUCGGGGACAGAAUGACAGGUGGUGCAUGGUUGUCGUCAGCUCGCGUCGUGAGAUGUUGGGUUAAGUCCCGCAACGAGCGCAACCCUUAUUAUUAGUUGCCAGCAUUUAGUUGGGCACUCUAGUGAGACUGCCGGUGAUAAA